UUUGUUUGAGAGCAACCAUAUGCACCAGCGAGCAUUUUUGAAGAGCAUUUGCUGUUGACAAACAUCACUAUCAUGAGCGUAUUCUAUUUCAAGUUCGAUAUAACUUCCCCAGAUAUGUCCUAGAAGGAUUGCCAUAUUACUUACUGAUUUGACUGCAGCCUUGCUGGAGCACCGUCUUUUGUCGAAUAAAUUGACCCCAGGACUUAUUCUUUGUAAGCCUAGUACUUGUGCAAUCAGUCUCUUUUGCCGAACGGCAAAGUUACGGGGAUGUAAACACAUCGGCAUUGGUUGUCAAGUGAGAGUGGGGAGACAGACACAGACACACAAACAUACACAUACACACACACAUAUAUAUACAACUAGCCUCUUUCACUUUUCGUCUACCAAAUCUACUCACAAGGCUUUGGUUGGCCCGAGACUAUAGUAGAAGACACUUUCCUCAAUGUGCCAUGCAACGAGACUGAACCCAGAACUAUGUGGUUGGUAAGCAAGCUACUUACCACACAACCACUCCAAAAGCAAAGAAAAACAAAAUUUAUUAAUGCUUAAAUAAACUGUGUUUCAAAAGUAGAAAGGAAACGUUUUCAAAC